rnacentral:rRNA from 1 species
CGAGUGAAGCGGCAACAGCUCAAAUUUGAAAUCUGGGUCUUUCAGGCUCCGAGUUGUAAUUUGUAGAGGGUGCUUUGGUGUUGGCUGCGGUCUAAGUUCCUUGGAACAGGACGUCACAGAACGGGUGAGAAUCCCGUACGUGGUCGACAGUCUUCACCGUGUAAAGCCCCUUCGACGAGUCGAGUUGUUUGGGAAUGCAGCUCUAAAUGGGAGGUAAAUUUCUUCUAAAGCUAAAUAUUGGCCAGAGACCGAUAGCGCACAAGUAGAGUGAUCGAAAGAUGAAAAGCACUUUGGAAAGAGAGUCAAAAAGCACGUGAAAUUGUUGAAAGGGAAGCGCUUGCAAUCAGACUUGCCUGUAGUUGCUCAUCUAGGCUCUUGCCUGGUGCACUCUUCUACGGGCAGGCCAGCAUCAGUUCAGGCGGCUGGAUAAAGGCCUCUAUCACGUAUCUUCCUUCGGGAUGACCUUAUAGGGGAGGUGUAAUGCAGCCAGCCUGGAUUGAGGUCCGCGCAUCUGCUAGGAUGCUGGCGUAAUGAUUGUAAGCGGCCCGUCUUGAAACACGGACCAAGGAGUCUAACAUCUAUGCGAGUGUUUGGGUGUAAAGCCCGGGCGCGUAAUGAAAGUGAACGGAGGUGGGAACCUUAGGGUGCACCAUCGACCGAUCCUGAUGUCUUCGGAUGGAUUUGAGUAAGAGCAUAGCUGUUGGGACCCGAAAGAUGGUGAACUAUGCCUGAAUAGGGUGAAGCCAGAGGAAACUCUGGUGGAGGCUCGCAGCGGUUCUGACGUGCAAAUCGAUCGUCAAAUUUGGGCAUAGGG